rnacentral:tRNA from 1 species
GCUAGCUCAGUUGGUAAAGCAUUUGACUUACAAUCUAAAGGUGGUGGGAUGAAAUCCUGCGC